AAACUAGGAUUAGAUACCCUAUUAUUUUAAGUUUAUUUUUAAAGUAGUAAAUUAUGUUUUUUAAACUUAAUUUUUCUGGCGGUUCACUACUCUAACAGAGGAGCUUGUCAAUUUAGAUUGAUAACCCGCUUUUAUUUUCACCAUUGUUUAUCUUAUGUACGGCUGUUAAGCUUUAAUUUUUAGCUUAUUGUUUUAACUUUUAAAAGCUUAGUUCAGGUCAAUGUGUAGACUAUGCUGUGGAUUUUGAUGAGCUACUUUUAUUAGUUUUAGUUUUUGUCUUCUUUUUAAAUUGGAUUUGUUAGUAAAGCUGAAAUAAAACUUUAGCUUGGUGUAGACUUUUGGUGGAAGUACAUAUCGCCCGUCACUCUUUUGAUAGAUAAGUCGUAACAUAGUAA
rnacentral:rRNA from 1 species